AAAAUGGUUACAUCCAUUUGCUGAGUUUUUGUUUUUGUUUUUUUGUUUUUCUGGAACCAUGAGUGUUUUUUCAUGCCCCGGGAGCUGUUUCACAGCUGUUUGAAUCAGUGGCCUCGCGGGCAUCUCCAGCUGGGCUAAUGAGUGACAGCUGGCCUCAAUUGCCAGGUCUCCAGCGCAUCCUGUUUGCAUCUCCUGAAGUUUGACCGCCACCUGGUGGACAUUAGAGGAUGUGCCUCCUUUGUGUUUUUCAAAGCAUCAGGGUGGAGGCCCAGGUCGGUCCCAGGUAGACAACCCACAGUGAACAUAACUUGAGUCACCUUAACAGGAUGAAAACCCAGGCUGCAGACGUGCGGAAUGAAGGAAUCACUCUUCCUCCCGCUUCUUUUCACUGUGACACGAUCUUGGCAGGAACGAGUCAGGAAACACACAGAAGUGUGGACACACACAGUUGAAUUUGCAGACCUGCAUUCAGCCGCCAGGAAGAGUAUACUUUAUGUCAUUUGGUGUGAGGAGCCGCACUCACAUUCGCCAUUACAAGAUGGCGCUGACAUCCGCUGCCCGAUCAAGUAAACAACGUUGCCUGCUGGCCCUCACUCCCCGCCCCACGCAAGGCCGGAUCGCUCCGUCCCAAGGCCAGCCAUCUGGACCGGCAGGAGAUAAGGCCAUUUCGCCUGGCUAUUAAACCUUAAGAAAAUGCUGAUUUGAUGCUUUUCGCUUCUGUACUAUGCCUGUUUUCCCUUAUAAAAAGGACCCUCCUUCCGGGGCUCUGGGCUUGGCAAAACAGAAGCUAAGCCCCGGAUAUCCGUGUUAUUAAUAAAUCCUCUUGUUCUUACAUCCAAAGUUCGUAGUUUCGCUGAUUCCUGGGUGUGGGUCUUCUUCCACGAAAGUACCUCUGCGGGGGUCUUUCAAGCUUAUGCUCUCUCUCUCUCAAGAUGCAUUAAAGCUUU
rnacentral:lncRNA from 1 species